CAGCCGCCGCGGUAAUACGUAGGGUGCAAGCGUUAAUCGGAAUUACUGGGCGUAAAGCGUGCGCAGGCGGUUAUAUAAGACAGAUGUGAAAUCCCCGGGCUCAACCUGGGAACUGCAUUUGUGACUGUAUAGCUAGAGUACGGCAGAGGGGGAUGGAAUUCCGCGUGUAGCAGUGAAAUGCGUAGAUAUGCGGAGGAACACCGAUGGCGAAGGCAAUCCCCUGGGCCUGUACUGACGCUUAUGCACGAAAGCGUGGGGAGCAAACAGGAUUAGAGACCCCAGUAGUCCCUGUCUCUUAUAC
rnacentral:rRNA from 1 species